rnacentral:rRNA from 1 species
CGUGUAGGCGGUGCGGUAAGUUGGGCGUGAAAUCCCCGAGCUUAACUCGGGUGGGCCGUUCAAGACUGCCGUGCUAGGGUGCGGGAGAGGGAAGUGGAAUUUCCGGUGUAGCGGUGAAAUGCGUAGAUAUCGGGAGGAACACCUGCGGCGAAGGCGGCUUCCUGGACCGUAACCGACGCUGAGGCGCGAAAGCUAGGGGAGCAAACAGGAUUAGAUACCCUGGUAGUCCUAGCCCUAAACGAUGAGCACUGGGUGUGGCCCCUCACGGGGCCCGUGCCGAAGCUAACGCAUUAAGUGCUCCGCCUGGGGAGUACGGUCGCAAGGCUGAA